rnacentral:rRNA from 1 species
GUGUCAGCCGCCGCGGUAAUACAGAGGGUGCAAGCGUUAAUCGGAAUUACUGGGCGUAAAGCGCGCGUAGGUGGUUUGUUAAGUUGGAUGUGAAAUCCCCGGGCUCAACCUGGGAACUGCAUUCAAAACUGACUGACUAGAGUAUGGUAGAGGGUGGUGGAAUUUCCUGUGUAGCGGUGAAAUGCGUAGAUAUAGGAAGGAACACCAGUGGUGAAGGCGACCACCUGGACUAAUACUGACACUGAGGUGCGAAAGCGUGGG